rnacentral:rRNA from 1 species
CAACGGAUCUCUUGGCUCUCGCAUCGAUGAAGAACGCAGCGAAAUGCGAUAAGUAAUGUGAAUUGCAGAAUUCAGUGAAUCAUCGAAUCUUUGAACGCACCUUGCGCUCCUUGGUAUUCCGAGGAGCAUGCCUGUUUGAGUGUCAUGAAU